GAAGAAAGAAAUUCACCUACGCAACGGGCAGUAUUUGAAUAUCUUAAAGGGAAAGUGUUAGAUGUAUAUCCUAAAUAUAAGAAAGAAGCUAAGGAUCAUCUAUCAAAAGUUGUUAAGUUGAAUCCAUUAGAAGAAACACUCCUUCCCCUUUUCAACGAAAUAACUGAGUCAUAUCAGAUCCUAAUAUCUUCGGAAGGUCUUCAGAACAAGAAAGAAUGACCAUAUAGUUCUGGCGGGAAGGUGAUAUACUUUAUAAGCUUCAUCAUCCAAAUGUGGUGGAAUUUUAUGGGGUAGUUCAAGAUGGACUAAGAGGAACAAUGGCAACUGUCACGAAGUUCACAAUGGAUCUGAAAAUGCCUUAGACAAACAAGGUUACCAAGUUCCCUUGACAAUUUUGGUUGAUAAAGAAAGGAACAAAGCUGUGUAUGCUGAGUCAGGAACAACAAAUACGGCGGGUCCUUCACCAAGAGUGGUAAAUCAAUUAGAAAAAGGGAAGACGGAGUGCUGAAGAAAAAACUUCCAUUGGUCGUAGGAAGACAUCGGCUGCCCUGUCAAUUCGUGGGAUACCACCACAUCCAUCAAACUCAGAUUCAUAAACUGCUACCAUGAGUAAAUUUUUGAACAUAACUUUUAAAAUUGAUAGUGUUUGUCUAUGAUCAUAGAAACGUUGGUUAAACAAUUAGGAUUUUAAUAAAAAGGAGAAUUUAA